AAAAAUGUGAGUAAUGCGACUGAACUGGCCUCUAAACUCCAAACACAUUCCAUUGGAUUUAGGCGCCGAGAGGGCGACGACUGGAUGGAGGCAAAGCAGCCAACUUUCCCGAAAUCAAGGAACGACGGCGACGUUCACGCCAAUUGCCACCGCGUCUCGAAUGUCAACAAGCUGAGCAACAUGACAACCUGAUUCGCCCUUUCCGAACCCCCACAGCGCCGUGCCGCUUACCUGCGGAAGAAUUAGCAGUUCAUGUCAGCCAAGCGGCUCCCGUGCAAGAUAUGCAACACAUAACAAGACAUGUUUUUAUCCGGACGAGCCCUUCGUACAAGCUUCAAGUUCCCCCCACGGUCUGAAGCCCAUUCCAUCUCCACCGGCUAUUAUUGGAAAGCGCGCCCUCGUGCGGUGAAAAAGGGUGAAGCCCGCAACAGGUGGACGGAUGGUUGGCAGGUUUGGAUGCUGACUUCAAGAGACAACUGAAAGUCACAGAAACAAACCAAUUGGCAGAGCAGUAUAUUUGUGGAAAACAAAAGACUAUAUAUAGAUAGAUAGAUCAGUCGCAGGGCACAUAUAGAGACAAACAACUAUUCACUCCCACAUCUACACUGUCACCAAGUGAGAACCAAUCCCACGCUGCCCGCACACGUUUCAGGCAAGUGUACCACUACACCAUCAGGGACUAGGCUUAUUGCCAUUUGGUUCAUUUAAUAAUGUAUGUUUCAAUACAUGAGCUCAUUCAGAAAGUGGCUGGCUUUUACCAAAGGUGAGUUGACCUGAGUUGUUUCACUCGUCUGGGCGUAAAUACCAUCAAAUAAAAGCUGGAAUUCUGA